CCCUCCCUCUUGUCUUUCUCUUGUCCUGUGCCAGUCUUGUGCGUACCUUUGCCACAGACUUGUCUAGAACCACGUUUUGUGCACCUUUUGAUCCACCGGAACUUAUGUCAGGCAACCUGAGGAGCUCGGAGAAUAUAGUCCUGCUCUAGAGACCUGAGGCAGUACCAGCACGGCUCUGAUGCAGCGUCUGCAACUAUAGGCCAAAGCUGACCCGCCUUACCCUAUGACAAUCGGUGUUGUCAUCCUGGACUCCUCCCGUCUCUGCCUGGUCCGGUUCCUCCGGUUCUUGGAGCUUUUCCGAGCCCUCAUCGCCAGAAGUGUGUCUGCUAAUGUCUGCCUGGUCAGGAGCGAUCCCACUGAGGGGUUUAAGGAGCAGCCAGUCCAAAAGCUAGGCAGGUGUGUGUCAUGGUCAGC